AUGUUGUAUGGGCACCCAUUUUCCAGUCAUUUUUCAGCAUUCCCCUUUGAGUGGACCAAGCAGAUAUUCAAGAUCAAAGUAAGACUAUUUAUUGCUGUACAUGUACUCUCUGAUGGCAAACAGUGGUUUUAUGAUUGUCUUUCUUUGGUGAGUGAAGAGUCAAAGGAACCCCAGCCCAAGACAUCUUUCAAUUUAAGGAUAAUUCAGAUUCUGAGGUUGCACGUGCCAAGACUGUAUUGUUCUGUCAGACGUCGUCAUCUAACGGGUCUACAAAAUCCCUCCCUGACACUCUGGGUAGAACUCCUGUUAAGGUUAGCUAGAAUAUGUAAAGGCUCCAUUAUUUGCAGAAAUUGGUCAUUUAAUUUAUAUUAGAUGGUUGUACAUUCAAGAAUGCUCUAGUUUGCCUAAUCUAGCUUUAUAAUAAAUCUGGCAUUGUACACUGAAUACUGUCAGCUCUCUGACUAAUUACUUAUGCCGCUCUAUUUUAAGUAGCUUUGGACAAACACAUCUGCUAAAUGCAUAAAUAUAAAUUAUGUAAAAU
rnacentral:lncRNA from 1 species